AUUGAACGCUGGCGGCAGGCUUAACACAUGCAAGUCGAGCGGAGAUGAGGUGCUUGCACCUUAUCUUAGCGGCGGACGGGUGAGUAAUGCUUAGGAAUCUGCCAUUUAGUGGGGGACAACAUUCCGAAAGGAAUGCUAAUACCGCAUACGUCCUACGGGAGAAAGCAGGGGAUCUUCGGACCUUGCGCUAAAUGAUGAGCCUAAGUCGGAUUAGCUAGUUGGUGGGGUAAAGGCCUACCAAAGCGACGAUCUGUAGCGGGUCUGAGAGGAUGAUCCGCCACACUGGGACUGAGACACGGCCCAGACUCCUACGGGAGGCAGCAGUGGGGAAUAUUGGACAAUGGGCGGAAGCCUGAUCCAGCCAUGCCGCGUGUGUGAAGAAGGCCUUUUGGUUGUAAAGCACUUUAAGCGAGGAGGAGGCUAUUAGUACUAAUACUACUGGAUAGUGGACGUUACUCGCAGAAUAAGCACCGGCUAACCUCGUGCCAGCCGCCGCAGUAA
rnacentral:rRNA from 1 species